GUAACUGUGUGUGUGUGUGUGUGUGUGUGUGUGUGUGUGUGUGUGUGUGUGUGUGUGUGCUCGUUCAUCUGUGCCAGAGUGAGCAGUCCAUAUGUCUCGCAGUGGGACUGGGCCCUCGUGGUUUUUGCAAGUUGAGCGUGAAAGUAUUCCAAAAAAACAAAUCCACACACCUACGAACCAACGCAAACACACCAGUCCACUAACUCAUGAGUUUGCAUGUUCUCUCAAGUGUGUGUGUGUGUGUUAAUGCAUGUUUGUGUACACCUGUGUGUAUCGUACCACCGGGGCUUAGAUGUCUCCUCUCCACGUUUGUGUAGUACUCCUGCAUCUCCCUCUCUGCCUGCUCACUGAAGGGGUUAGGAGGCAAGGGAGCCAUCUGCUCCUCCUCAGUGGGCACGUAUGGCUGGGGAGGAGACAGGGAGAGGGGUGAGCAUGGGAGCACACACACACACACACACACACACACACACACACACACAAA